rnacentral:tRNA from 1 species
GAGAGCGUAGCUCAGUUGGUUAGAGCGUUAGUUUGUGGCACUAAAGGUCGGGGGUUCGAGACCCCUCGUUCUCC